CAGCCCUGAACUAAGUAAAAAUGGCCCAAAUUCGUUCCAUUGUUUAAGUCGGAGGCGUCGCGUAAUUUACGAAAGUUUGUGCUUUAUACUCUAUUCACGUUUUCUAUGGUGUUUUAACAACAAGUUCGAAGUGUCAUCUUCAUGAUUUACCAAUUCCAUGGCUGCUGGCUGGAGAAAAGAGAGGAGGAACAGUCUCUUCAGCAAUAUCGUCGCACCCAUGGAAGAAUACUAGCGACUGCUGGCAGAAUUUAGUAAUUCUGAUUUGAGCAGCAUAUCUGAUGAUGAUGAUGACUGGCCUUCAUCUCCACUUCGGCGCAGAGAACUCUUUCAUGAACUAUGUGCCAACACUGAGAGUUCAGCAUCUGAGUCUGAUGAAGAGAACAGAGAUGGAAAUGUUACCACCAGGUCCCCUGAAGUUACAAGUAGCACUGCAGCUGCCCAGACUGGACCCAGCAGAAAUCUCAAUACUAAUGGAUGUCCUCAUUUCAGGAGAAAUAUAAACUUCAAUCACAGAUUUACUGUAGAUGUUGAUAAUCAUUCUCAGGGAACUAAUUUUCAACCCACAGUUCUCUCCCCUGUAGAUUAUUUCAUGGCUUACCUCUCACCUGAAAUUUUAGAUGCAAUGACUCUAGAAACACAGAAAAAAGUACAUGUCCAAAAAAGGAAAGCCAUUAUCACUAACAGUAGAUCAAAUGAAAAAGUUUAUAGGAAUAAAUUUCCUUAUGUCAGUGUUAAAAUUCCCUAGAAUUAAAAUGUACUGGCAAAAGAAAACAAGGAUUUCUGUUAUAACUGAUGCCAUGAGUCGUGACAUGUUUUCAGUAAUCAGAGCUUCUUUGAAAGUCUUUGAUGAGAGUCUGUUGAAUGCAGCACAGAGGAAAUCAGACAGAUUUCAUAAGACCACUCAUAGAUUGUGUUCGUUCACGCUGUUUGGAGUUAGACAGACCUCAAUAUGUCUCAGUUGAUGAAAUGAUCAUUCCAUUUACAGGCAGAACACAUCUUAAGCAAUUUACACCUCGGAAACCAAACCCACAUGGCCUAAAGAUCUAGUAGUGAUGGCCAAGUCCUAGAUUUUGAGUUUUUUCAGGGUAAGGAAGACUUGCUUUUGAAUGUACAAAGAACUGGACUUCAUCUUCCAGAGUGGGGUACCCUUAAGAUAGGAGAAGCUGCAGUCCUAAGAUUUGUAAAGUCAGUCAGUAGAGGUACUAGUUUCUUCUUUGAUAGGCUUUUUACUACACCUAAGCUCUUAGAAAUUCUCUCAUCAUUAGGAAUGGGAGCUACAGGGACAAUGAAGAAGAACCUUGUGCCAAAACAGUGUCGAUUGAAGACUGAGAAUCAGUUAAAGAGAUCCGGCAGAGGUUCCUCUGCCUGUGCAGUGAGAGAUGAUUCUGCUUUUUGUAUAACUGUAUGGUUUGACAAAAAAACAUCAUCUUAGCAUCUAAUGAACAUAGUAUUCAGCCAGUAUCUACUUGUCAGAGGUGGUGUAAAAGAGAAAAACGCCACUUAGAAGUGCAACGUCCUAGGGUUGUUGAGCUAUACAACUCAAAGAUGGGGGGCGUUGAUAUUAUUGAUCAGGUCAUUAGCUGUUACAGAAGUGCAACACGUUCUGCAAAAUUUACUGUUCGAGCAAUGUUGCAUCUUUUGGACCUCUCUUGCGCAAAUGCAUAGUUAGAGUACAGAAAAGAUUGUGAAAAAAGUAGUUCUGUUACCAUGGACAGUAUGGAUUUUAAAUUGGAAAUAGCUUAUUCUUCUAAAUGAUGACAACAGUGAGUCUGAGAUAUCAGAGGAGCAUGAUGACAUUUCUAGAAAAAGAACAAGGCCCCUUCCCAUUGCUGCAAAGCGUACUAACAGUGCAUGCCAUAUGCCUGAUGCAUUACCCCCUUAUGCCUCUAGAAUGAGAUGUCGAUAUCCAGGGUGCAAUGGGAGGACCAAGUUUUCAUGCAAAAGUUGCAAAGUUUUUCUUUGUCUUUCAUAUGAAAGAAAUUGUUAUUCUCUUUUCCAUUUGCCCUGAAAUAUUUGAUGAUUAGGUUUACAAAUUAAAAUGUUUCUGUUAAUGAAGAAAUUUGAAAUAGAACUUACUUUUUCUCACUAAGAAAGAAAAAAAGGUUUUGUUUCUUUUCAGUAAGUAAAGAUUAUGGUAUGCAGAUAUGCAGAGCUGAUGAAUAUGUCCUCAUUUUUACUUAGGUACACUGCAGUCAAAGUAAUGAGUGUUACUUAAAUGUUUGUUUUAAUGAAAAAUGCCUUGCAAUGAAGUUGAAUAAGAAGAAAUAUACCUGGAAUUAUCAAAUUUGUGUUUUUUCUGAAAGUUAUAAUACAUAUAUUGUAAAUUUA
rnacentral:lncRNA from 1 species